UUUGUCCCUAACUCUGAUGCAUGAGAGGAGAGAGGAGAAUGAAAGGCACCUGACGCUGGAGCGCCCAUAAGACAGAUACGAAGAUAAUUGGCUGUGCUGCAACAAGAGGGGGCUUGCGGAUGAGAGGCUCACCAGGUCCUGCUCCCAUUUGACAGGCCAGUACAGUUUUAUCUACAAACUCUUCUCAUAUGUGUCUGCUGCUACUUAGUUGUACAUACUCACAUUUAUAGUGGGAACACAUUUAGUUGGGUGUAUAUAUUUAUUAGUGCUAGACAAUAAGAGCAGUAGUUUUGUGGGUAAAAAGAAAGGCUUGGCAAUAGACUGACCAGUUGAAAGGGCUGAUUAAGUACCGUAGUAUUGUUGAAUUAAAAGAGCAUUUCCAAAGGUCUAAAUUUUGCUGAAACGUGUGGAUGUGGUUUGUCAUUGCUGCUUGGUAAAAUCACACAGAUUGAUCUUUUACGGGUGUUGAUAAGUUUUAGGCCUCAGGGGAUGCUUCAUGAGAAGCACUAGGGGACAAUCGCGCCCACUCAGAGGACCUGUAAACCCUGAUAGGGGGACAGAACCUGGAUUUUAGGGGUGCCCAGAAGACCUAAAAGGGGGGUGUCAGCUGGUAGUGUCAGGGCCAGAACAAGAGCCAACCAUUGAAGUGAAAGUGAAUGAUAAACCAUUGACAGUUAUGGCAGAUUGCGGAGCUGCUUUCACCUGUGUUGAGAAUAAUUUUAAAGUGGGGAAAAGUUUCAUAAAAAAAAUCCUGAGUACACCCCAUAAUGUCCUCAAUGAGCUGAAUUUUUGAAGCCCAGAAUAGUUUCUGUAGCUCAAAGUUUGUGGGUGGAGAUAGGUGGUGAUGCAGACACAUAUUAACUGUGUGUACAUGCAGGUCUUUUAGACACACACACACGUGCACACACAUUGCCAGACUGUGUGUGUGUGUGUGUGUGUCGUUAAUGAUAGCAUCCUAAACAGCUGUGAGAUUAAAGGCAUUAACUGACCGACUGUUUGAAUGAGAAGCUGCCUCUGGACUUCUUCACAUAGCACGAUUUCCUUAUAACUAUAGUAAGGAAACAUUGAGCUCUGUGAGGAGAGGUGUGCUGAAGUUUGAGUGUGUGAGAGAAGCUUCUGGUGUGUGUGGGUGUGAGAGGAGUGUGUGUAUGGGUGCUGAGCUGUGUGUGUGAGGGCAAAAGAGUCUGUGUGCAGUGAGUGGUGUGUGCACAAAGUUGGGGAAUGGUCUAGCAUAAAUAUAAGUGAUUAACUUAUGAUAAAGUGAUGAAUGAUGUCUUAUUAAAUAUAUAAUGAUAUGAUAUAAGAAAUUAACAUAUAAGGGAAGAGAUACUGUUGCCUUUGUAGUGUUAAAAACAUAUGAGCCCUGUUUUUCUUUGUACAGGGACGUUAAUAGAAUAAGUAACUGCUAUGAGCCUCUCAGGAUAAAGAGGACGUUUGUACACCUAAUAGUAAGAAAUGAGCCCCUUAUUAGAUGAGGAGGACUUUGGAUGGUGAUAACAUCCUCGAUUAAAAUGGCAAUUAAAGAAGUGUACACAAGCACAUUUGUGUUCAUACAGAUACAGGGAAAAAACAGAGUAACAGAGUGGGGUAAAAUAAAAUGAUUUGCUAACUGAUGGGUAUGGUUUUCCUCUGUGUGUGUGUGAAUAUUUAAAGUGAAUGGUCACUUGCUGAUGAUUAUGUUUAGAGGGAAAAUCCCAGUUAAAAAUUGGAAAAAUCCAUGGAGCUUUCUCUCCCGCUUUCUUUCUCUUCUUGCAGGCCUGAGAACAGAAAGAAAGCUAAAAAAUCUAGUUUAACUAUCCUAGAUGUGUGAAAAUUUUAAAUGGUAUACCAUGGUAAAGGGGAAUGGUGUAUAAUAAAUUUAGGUAGUCUUAUGGUAGAAGAAAUCUUUAAUUAGUGGUAGGAAAUGUUGUUUUCAAGUUUAUUGAGUGAAUUGAUUGUAAUAUACUAAACAUUUGAUUUGUUCUUUGUCCCUAACUCUGAUGCAUGAGAGGAGAGAGGAGAAUGAAAGGCACCUGACGCUGGAGCGCCCAUCAGAGAGGCUCACCAGGUCCUGCUCCCAUUUGACAGGCCAGUACAGUUUUAUCUACAAACUCUUCUCCUAUGUGUCUGCUGCUACUUAGUUGUACAUACACACAUUUAUAGUGGGAACACAUUUAGUUGGGUGUAUAUAUUUAUUAGUGCUAGACAAUAAGAGCAGUAGUUUUGUGGGUAAAAAGAAAGGCUUGGCAAUAGACUGACCAGUUGAAAGGGCUGAUUAAGUACCGUAGUAUUGUUGAAUUAAAAGAGCAUAUCCAAGAGGUCUAAAUUUUGCUGAAACGUGUGGAUGUGGUUUGUCAUUGCUGCUCGGUAAAAUCACACAGAUUGAUCUUUUACGGGUGUUGAUAAGUCUUAGGCCUCAGGGGAUGCUUCAUGAGAAGCACUAGGGGACAAUCGCGCCCACUCAGAGGACCUGUAAACCCUGAUAGGGGGACAGAACCUUGAUUUUAGGGGUGCCCAGAAGACCUAAAAGGGGGGUGUCAGCUGGUAGUGUCAGGGCCAGAACAAGAGCCAACCAUUGAGGUGAAAGUGAAUGAUAAACCAUUGACAGUUAUGGCAGAUUGCGGAGCUGCUUUCACCUGUGUUGAGAAUAAUUCUAAAGUGGGGAAAAGUUUCAUAAAAAAAAUCCUGAGUACACCCUAUAAUGUCCUCAAUGAGCUGAAUUUUUGAAGCCCAGAAUAGUUUCUGUAGCUCAAAGUUUGUGGGUGGAGAUAGGUGGUGAUGCAGACACAUAUUAACUGUGUGUACAUGCAGGUAUUUUAGACACAGACACACACACACACACAUUGCCAGACUGUGUGUGUGUGUGUGUGUGUGUGUGUGUGUGUGUGUCGGUAAUGAUUGCAUCCUAAACAGCUGUGAGAUUAAAGGCAUUUACUGACCGACUGUUUGAAUGAGAAGCUGCCUCUGGACUUCUUCACAUAGUACGAUUUCCUAUAACUAUAGUAAGGAAACAUUGAGCUCUGUGAGGAGAGGUGUGCUGAAGUUUGAGUGUGUGAGAGAAGCUUCUGGUGUGUGUGUGAGAGGAGUGUGUGUAUGGGUGCUGAGCUGUGUGUGUGAGGGCAAAGGAGUCUGUGUGCAGUGAGUGGUGUGUGCACAAAGUUGGGGAAUGGUCUAGCAUAAAUAUAAGUGAUUAACUUAUGAUAAAGUGAUGAAUGAUGUCUUAUUAAAUAUAUAAUGAUAUGAUAUAAGAAAUUCACAUAUAAGGGAAGAGAUUCUGUUGCCUUUGUAGUGUUAAAAACAUAUGAGCCCUGUUUUUCUUUGUACAGGGACGUUAAUAGAAUAAGUAACUGCUAUGAGCCUCUCAGGAUAAAGAGGACGUUUGUACACCUAAUAGUAAGAAAUGAGCCCCUUAUUAGAUGAGGAGGACUUUGGAUGGUGAUAACAUCCUCGAUUAAAAUGGCAACUAAAGAAGUGUACACAAGCACAUUAGUGUUCAUACAGAUACAGGGAAAAAACAGAGUAACAGAGUGGGGUAAAAUAAAAUGAUUUGCUAACUGAUGGGUAUGGUUUUCCUCUGUGUGUGUGUGAAUAUUUAAAGUGAAUGGUCACUUGCUGAUGAUUAUGUUUAGAGGGAAAAUCCCAGUUAAAAAUUGGAAAAAUCCAGGGAGCUUUCUCUUCUUACAGGCCUGAGAACAGAAAGAAAGCUAAAAAAUCUAGUUUAACUAUCCUAGAUGUGUGAAAAUGUUAAAUGGUAUACCAUGGUAAAGGGGAAUGGUGUAUAAUAAAUUUAGGUAGUCUUAUGGUAGAAGAAAUCUUUAAUUAGUGGUAGGAAAUGUUGUUUUCAAGUGUAUUGAGUGAAUUGAUUGUAAUAUACUAAACAUUUGAUUUGUUCUUUGUCCCUAACUCUGAUGCAUGAGAGGAGAGAGGAGAAUGAAAGGCACCUGACGCUGGAGCGCCCAUAAGACAGAUGUUGCUGUGCUGCAACAAGAGGGGGCUUGCAGAUGAGAGGCUCACCAGGUCCUGCUCCCAUUUGACAGGCCAGUACAGUUUUAUCUACAAACUCUUCUCCUAUGUGUCUGCUGCUACUUAGUUGUACAUACACACAUUUAUAGUGGG
rnacentral:lncRNA from 1 species